AUUGAACGCUGGCGGCAUGCCUUACACAUGCAAGUCGAACGGCAGCGGGCCCUUCGGGGUGCCGGCGAGUGGCGAACGGGUGAGUAAUGCAUCGGAACGUACCCGGGAGAGGGGGAUAACCGGCCGAAAGGCUGGCUAAUACCGCAUGAACUCGGAAGAGCAAAGCGGGGGACCUUCGGGCCUCGCGCUCUCGGAGCGGCCGAUGUCCGAUUAGGCUAGUUGGUGGGGUAAAGGCCCACCAAGGCGACGAUCGGAAGCGGGUCUGAGAGGACGAUCCGCCACACUGGGACUGAGACACGGCCCAGACUCCUACGGGAGGCAGCAGUGGGGAAUCUUGGACAAUGGGCGCAAGCCUGAUCCAGCAAUGCCGCGUGGGUGAAGAAGGCCUUCGGGUUGUAAAGCCCUUUCGGCGGGGAAGAAAUCGGUCAGGCGAAUAGUCUGGCCGGAUGACGGUACCCGCAGAAGAAGCACCGGCUAACUACGUG
rnacentral:rRNA from 1 species